AUCCUCCUUUCAUCAAACUUCAUGAUUUCUCCGCUGUCCAGCUGGAAAUAGAAGCUCAAGAGAAAUCAGGUUCUGCAAGACAGCUUCCUCCCUGUCCCUCACGCUGCUGUCUGUCCACAGAGCACAACACCAGCAUCAGAACCUCCUCUGGCUCUUGCUUUUCCUGAAGAUGAGGCUAAAGAGGAGGGCGAUGCCAAGGAAUUUCCACGUGUUGCCACUCCACGGCUUGACCACCGCGAAGCAGCCCUGACAGAAGAGCUUUCUGCCGGUCAGGACUCCACAGCCCAGACGGAGUGGCAGGAGAGGAUGGAAGGAGGGCUCAGUGUCCAGGAGCUCCUACCAAAGGAGCUGGCUGUAGCUGAGAGAAAACCCUCCCUCUCAGAGCAGGACUUUGUACUGAUCGAAGAGACAGUG